rnacentral:rRNA from 1 species
UACAGAGGGGGGCAAGCGUUAUUCGGAAUUAUUGGGCGUAAAGGGCGCGUAGGCGGCUUGGCAAGUGGAUGGUGAAAUCCCCUCGGCUUAACCGAGGAACUGCCGUCCAAACUGCUUUGCUUGAGACCGGGAGAGGUGAGUGGAAUUCCAGGUGUAGCGGUGAAAUGCGUAGAUAUCUGGAGGAACACCGGUGGCGAAGGCGGCAUCCUGGACCGGUAUUGACGCUGAGGCGCGAAAGCCAGGGGAGCAAAGCGGG